ACCUGCUGGACCUGCUUUAACCCGCUGAAGGACAGGUAUAAAUUAUUUUGGCUUUUUUUAUUUGGGUUUUUUAGUGCUUGUAAAGGGAAACUAAAAUCUGCCUUGUGGUGGUCAUUGCAUAUCCAUGUGGUGAUGGAAUGCUGUAGGUACUAUAUGAAUGUAUACAAGCAGUUAUUAUCUAAAAUCUGGUGAUGUAUACAUGCUUAAAAGACACUUUUUGUGGUGAAAUAGGUGGCUUAAGAAAGGUUUCCAGGAAGAACUUUGUCUUAGAGUCUUAAAGGCACAGGAUCUUCUGCUCCAAGAUAAACAGAAAGAGGUGAUCUCUUUCUGCAUUCAGUAUGGCCUAAGUUACAAAAGCUCAACUUUAUUUGAAGAAUUUAAUUUGUGGCUGAAGAUUCAUAGCUCUAACAGUAGUAGAGAAAUAGAUGUGAGAAUUAUCUUCUACAGCACAGAAGACCAACAUCAGACACCACUCCUAUCAAGACAGGCUCAGAUAGUUGGGCUUGUUCAGCCUGAAGAAGAGAAGGCUAUGGGGAGACCUUAUAGCAGCUUCCAGUGUCUAAAGGGGACCUACAAGAAAUCUGGAGAGGUGCCUUUUACAAGGGCAUGUAGUGGACAUGUAGGACAAGGGGGAAUAGCUUUAAAUUGAAAGAGGGUAGAUUUAGAUUAGAUACAAGGAAGAAACUCUUCACUGAGGGUGGUGAGGCACUGGUACAGGUUGCCCGGAGAAGCUGUGUCUGCUCCAUCCCUGGAGGUGCUUGAGGGCAGGUUGGGCAGGGCUUGGAGCAACCUGAUCUAGUGGAAGGGGUCCCUGCCCGUGGCAGGAGGUUAGAACUGGAUGAGCUUUCAGGUCCCUUCCAACCCAAGCCAUUCUAUAGUUCUAUGAAAACUGAAGUGCGGAAGGAUUCUUUUUCUUUCUCCCCUUCCCCUUCAGUACACAUUAAAAUACUGAUUUUAAUCAGAUAUUUAGGAACAGUUGUCAGAAAUUACACAGUGUAAGGAUACAUGCUGUCAUUGAGGAGGAGAGCUGGAAAAACAGGGACAGACCAAAGAGCUGCUUAAAAAUUGUCAUGGCUUGCCAAAGUCUGUCAGAAGACUUUAAGAAACUGGCUGAAACAGUCUCAAGGCAAGGGGAUAGAAAAGCUUGAUUUCAAAAGCCUGGAGGAAUACAAGUUAUUCUUCCAGAAAAGUGCCCAGUGGAUGUUAUCCACAGAUGUUCCCCAUCUUUCUUGUUAAAUCAAGGAUAUGUGCAAAAAAAAGGAAGUCACAAAAUGGCCUUGUUCAAAGGUUGUUGGCAGUGAUAACUAUUACCAUUAGCAGAUGAAAGCAAGCUGCAGGUAGGAUUUCAAAGGGUAGCAGAAUUUGCUUUUAUUGGACUAACUGUGCAGUUCCUUGCAAGUUCAAUAUUGCUUUCCUAAGAUGUUUCCUGAAGUAACAGUAAAAUGAGCAUACAAUAAAUGCAAGUACCCAUUAAAGCUCACUAAAGGAACACCUUAUGUUUCCAAUAGAUGAACACUGAGAUAACUAAAUAUUUGUGAAUUGCAUCACAGACCUCUGUUAUGCCAAAGUUCUGGGGUUUAUUGCUAAGAGAGCACCAGUAAAGGUGGCUUUAAAUUGCUUUAUGUUCCUACUUUCUCGAAUGCUGCUGAAGAGGGAAAGCAAGGAGCAGCGAGCAGUGUUAAAAGACUUCAUGGCUGUUCAGCAACCAGCAAGGGGAUUCACCUCUUCCCUCCUUCAGUCUACCCACAAGCUGGUUUUUUUUUUUCUGUGAAAAUGCUUUCUGAGGGUUUAGACUGGUGGGGUUUUUUUGACAGGAGGGUUUACAAUCCCCUCAAAUUAGUGGCAUUGGUAAAAAGCUAUUCUGGGUUGAAGAAGAUUCAAAUAUCUUACUUUGAUAAGAAAAGUGACAACAUUUUUCCUCCUCUGAGGAGUGGUUACUUAGUCCAUUUCCAAAUCAGGAUUAAACUGCUGGACUUCCUCCUGGUUCUUGGGGUGUCUAACUUUUAUUUAGUUCAAGCAAUUCUAGUAGCAUAGAACAUAUGGGUUACUUUCAGAGCUGUGAUAUUGUGAUCCCAUUAUUUUAUGCUUAUGCAGGCAUAAAUUAAGUAGCCUGAGAAAGGCACUACCUUGUGCUGUGAAGGUGUCUCAGUUUCCUCUGCAACUGCAUCUUUUUCUCUUUAGCUAUGAGCAGUUGUCCAGGCACUGGAUAUGUUUAAUGGUAAUUGACCAAUUAUUUAAGUCUAUCUUUAUUUUUUCACAUUUAUUUUAGCGUUCUUGUAAAAAUAGCUCUUCUGAGACCUCUGGGCCUGGGGAAACUACUCUCUGUUCCCAUAAAGCAUGUCUUUGGGAUAGGAGUUUGUCACCCUCUAUAUCAAAACCAAAUAAUUUAUACUGAGCUUCUUUACCUUUGCCAGUUUCUUUCAUCCUCUUCUUGGUACUAUAUAGACAAAACCAAAAAACAUCCUGGAUUUUAGUAUCUUUGAGAAUACUUGGAAUUUUUCUCCACAUCUCUGUUUGUGUGUUGGUACAGGGGUACUGCAUGUAGCCAUUGGGACCUAUGCAUCUAACACUCAUCAUGGGAGAAAGUUGUUCAGCAGGAGCUGAGAAAGCAGUAACUGUGUCUGUGCAAGAGCAGUGUCAGUUCCACCAUCCCCAUGUUCUUCAGACAGCUGGUGCCUACAGAUAGACCUUUUCAUUAGCCAGUGAUAUACCAGCACAGAUGCAGAAAUUACAUCCAAGACAGAAAUUCUGUUCUUCAGGUAUGUAAACUAUUGGCAUAGGAUGUUCUGCAGAUCCACUUACUGAUCACAUUAGGGAAAAAAUAACACAUCCCUGUAGUCUCACGAAUGUUUAAGUCUCCCAUCUAGUCAUUCUGUGCCUUUUCCAUGUUCCUUUAGCAGCUAUCUCCCACCCAUUCAUUCACACUCAUAAGAUCUGCUUUUCCUUGGCUGGUGGUGCUGAAAUUUCUGACAGCUCUGUUAACUGUUCUCCCUUCAAUACAAUAAGUUGUGUCUCUUUGGUCCCACAAAGGCAGUGAUUCUAUCCAGCCAGAUUUUGUUCCUUAACCCAAUCUCUGUGAUGGGCAAGAAGGGAAUUUGCUGCCUUCCAUGGAUCUCUGCCUGCCCUUAUCACAUAGCCUCUUCCUCUAUCAUACUAGUGACCUGGCUAAGGAGCAAGGUGAAGGCACAGUAUAAAGACACAAAGAUUAAAGGAUAGAAUGAUCAGCGUGCCUUCCAUUUGUUGUUGAAUACAACACUGUAAAUAAAAUGGUAUGACAGCAAUUAUUUUAUUACUCAGUUUAGUUAUCACUGGGGAACAAAAAC